AUUGAACGCUGGCGGCAGGCUUAACACAUGCAAGUCGAGCGGAGAUGAGGUGCUUGCACCUUAUCUUAGCGGCGGACGGGUGAGUAAUGCUUAGGAAUCUGCCUAUUAGUGGGGGACAACAUUCCGAAAGGAAUGCUAAUACCGCAUACGUCCUACGGGAGAAAGCAGGGGAUCUUCGGACCUUGCGCUAAUAGAUGAGCCUAAGUCGGAUUAGCUAGUUGGUGGGGUAAAGGCCUAACAAGGCGACGAUCUGUAGCGGGUCUGAGAGGAUGAUCCGCCACACUGGGACUGAGACACGGCCCAGACUCCUACGGGAGGCAGCAGUGGGGAAUAUUGGACAAUGGAGGAAACCCUGAUCCAGCCAUGCCGCGUGUGUGAAGAAGGCCUUAUGGUUGUAAAGCACUUUAAGCGAGGAGGAGGCUACUGAGACUAAUACUCUUGGAUAGUGGACGUUACUCGCAGAAUAAGCACCGGCUAACUCUGUGCCAGCAGCCGCGGUAA
rnacentral:rRNA from 1 species